CCAAGAGACCGGCGCACGGGUGCGUUAACGCGUAUGCAAUCUACCUUUGCAGAGGGAUAGGCCCAGAGAAAUUUGAUUAUACCUCAUAGUAUAGUACUUUGGCAUCAAGGAACUAUUAAAGUCACAACGGCAAAAGAUGAGCAUGCGUCCCAUUAGCUAGUUGGUAAGGUAACGGCUUACCAAGGCUACGAUGGGUAGGGGUCCUGAGAGGGAGAUCCCCCCACACUGGUACUGAGACACGGACCAGACUCCUACGGGAGGCAGCAGUGAGGAAUAUUGGACAAUGGGCGCAAGCCUGAUCCAGCAAUGCCGCGUGCAGGAUGAAGGCCUUCGGGUUGUAAACUGCUUUUGUACGGAACGAAAAGGCUCUUUCUAAUAAAGAGGGCCCAUGACGGUACCGUAAGAAUAAGCACCGGCUAACUACGUG
rnacentral:rRNA from 1 species